CUGCUGCCUUCCGUAGGAGUUUGGGCCGUGUCUCAGUCCCAAUGUGGCCGGUCACCCUCUCAGGCCGGCUACUGAUCGUCGCCUUGGUAGGCCGUUACCCCACCAACUAGCUAAUCAGACGCGGGUCCAUCUUAUACUACCUCAGUUUUUCACACAGAAACAUGCGUUCCCGUGCGCUUAUGCGGUAUUAGCAGUCAUUUCUAACUGUUAUCCCCCUGUAUAAGGCAGGUUACCCACGCGUUACUCACCCGUCCGCCGCUAAGU
rnacentral:rRNA from 1 species